UUGACCUCAAAUCAGGUAGGACCACCCGCUGAACUUAAGCAUAUCAAUAAGCGGAGGAAAAGAAACUAACAAGGAUUCCCUUAGUAACUGCGAGUGAAGAGGGAAAAGCUCAAAUUUGUAAUCUGGCAGCCUUUGGCCGUCCGAGUUGUAAUCUAGAGAAGUGCUACCUGCGCUGGACCAUGUACAAGUCUCCUGGAAUGGAGCAUCAUAGAGGGUGAGAAUCCCGUCUUUGACAUGGACUGCCAGAGCUUUAUAGGUGCGCUCUCAAAGAGUCGAGUUGUUUGGGAAUGCAGCUCAAAAUGGGUGGUAAAUGCCAUCUAAAGCUAAAUAUUGGCGAGAGACCGAUAGCGAACAAGUACCGUGAGGGAAAGAUGAAAAGAACUUUGGAAAGAGAGUUAAACAGUACGUGAAAUUGCUGAAAGGGAAACGCUUGAAGUCAGUCGCAUCAGUUGGAAAUCAACCUCGCUUUUGCUCGGUGUACUUUCCGUCUGAUGGGUCAGCAUCAAUUUUGAUCGCUGGAUAAAGUUCUUGGGAACGUGGCAUCUUUGGAUGUGUUAUAGCCCUUGGACAUAUACGGUGGUUGGGAUUGAGGAACUCAGCACGCCGCAAGGCUGGGGGCUUGUCCCACAACACGUGCUUAGGAUGCUGGCAUAAUGGCUUUAAUCGACCCGUC
rnacentral:rRNA from 1 species